GUGGAAGGGCGUGGCGGCCCGUGGAGUAGCGCGUGGCCGUGGUCGACGAUCGAGUUUGGCCUUGGUGAUUAUGCUUCACAGCUAUCUCAAAACAUUCACACAUCACUGUAAUGGUACAGUUCUGUGAGACCAAUUUGGAUAGAUCUAAGCUCAGAGGAGAAAAAAAACCUGCUUCUGAUUUACAGGUUAAUGAAUAUAAGAAUUGAAAGUUGGUACUUCAGUUGCCUAGGCAACAUUGCAGAGGAAAAAAUCAGCACUUUGGAUUUACUACGUGGUAUGUGUAGAUGAUCCUCUUAGGUGCAGCAAUUUUCAUCAAGAUAAAAGUUUUAAAGUUUCAUGAACUACAGUCUAUAAAACAUUUGUCAAAAAGUGUGGCAAUAUUCAAAAACUAUUAGGAUAACAUUACCUCUCUCAUAGCUGGCUUUUGAAUGAAAAAUACCAAGGCUGAUUUAGUUAUAAAAAAUGAGUGAUUAAUUAGUAAUGUUAGGAAUAAAAUUUUAGAAUAAAAAGUAAAGUUAAGUGACACGUACUGUGUAAAAUUUCUACGUGUAGACUGUAAGAUUUCUACACAAAAUAUCUACACAUAGACUGCAAGAUUUCUACACAAUUUCUACAUGUACACGUACUUUGUAAGAGUUCUGCACGUAGGCUAUAGGAU